CAGUAGCCGCGGUAAAACGAACCGUGCGAACGUUAUUCGGAAUCACUGGGCUUAAAGCGCGUGUAGGCGGGCCGCCACGUCGGCUGCUGAAAUCCCCCGGCUCAACCGGGGAGGGUCAUUGGAAACUGGGAAACUUGAGUGCAGAAGAGGAGAGUGGAAUUCCACGUGUAGCGGUGAAAUGCGUAGAGAUGUGGAGGAACACCAGUGGCGAAGGCGACUCUCUGGUCUGUAACUGACGCUGAGGAGCGAAAGCGUGGGGAGCGAACAGGAUUAGAUACCCGCGUAGUCCCUGUCUCUUAUA
rnacentral:rRNA from 1 species